rnacentral:rRNA from 1 species
UACAGAGGGUGCGAGCGUUAAUCGGAAUUACUGGGCGUAAAGCGCACGUAGGUGGCGACGUAAGUCGGGUGUGAAAGCCCCGGGCUCAACCUGGGAAUUGCAUUCGAGACUGCAUUGCUGGAGUACGGAAGAGGAAGGCGGAAUUCCCGGUGUAGUGGUGAAAUGCGUAGAUAUCGGGAGGAACACCAGUGGCGAAGGCGACUUCCUGGCCUGUUCUUGACGCUGAGGCGCGAAAGCUAGGGGAGCAAACGGG